CCCCCUCUAACGGCCAUUCAUUCACUUUAAGUACCAAAACAUACCCAAUGUAGUCCUACAAAAGUGGGUUUGGGGUAGGUAAAGCGUAUGUAGACCUUAUCCCUAGUUGUUUCUGAUAGAUCAUCGGCUUUAAAAAGAAAAGUGAAUACUCACAACUUCUAGCAACAGAUUAACACUAUAUACAAUUACAAAACUUAAAAAUGCAAGAGGAAGGUUAAUACCCACAACUUCUUACCCCCAAAUUUACAAAAUACACAAAAAUGAACAACAAGAAAUACAACGAGUAGUGAAUACACACUUCUUCUUAAUACCAAAUUAAGACAAUACACUAAAAAUGCAAAAGCAAAUAACCACCCCAAAAUUUAACACAAUACACAAAUAAGAGCCUAAAAAUAAUAAAGACUAUAGUGAAUAUCCAUAACUUCAUAACCCCAAGGAUUAACACAAUAUACAAAAAGGGGCACCUUUCAUAAAUCCCAACUGUUUAGUGCCUAAUUACAGAUCCUAUCCCCACUCUUUUCAAAAGUACAUAAAAUCCUGAAUUUUGAACUGGCAAGAUACAUUACUUAGGGUCCCGAUACAUUUCUUAGCCUGUGUCUCAAAUAUCAUAAAAUUCCAGAUUCUAAACUGGCCAGAUACAUUACUUAGGGUCGCAAUAUAUUUCUUAGCCGGUGUCUCAAAAUUACAUAAAAUCCCGGAAUUUGAACUGGCCAAGAUACAUUACUUAGGGUCGCGAUACAUUCAUUAGCCGGUGUCGCGAUACAUUACUUAGGGAUACAUUAUUUAGCCGGUCCCGUGAUGUAUCGCGACCCUAAGUGAUGUAUCGACAUUAAGAGAUCGUUUGGUUGGAAAACUAGUUAUCCCGAAAUUAGUUAUCCCACUCGCAAGAAAGGAUAAAAAUAAUACUACAAUCCCGGAAUAACUAAACUGGAAAUGAGUUCUCUCGCGCAUUUUAUCCCAACAAAACACGGAAUAAGCUAAUUCUAAAAUUAAUAUCAGGACAGGUUAUCCUUUAUCCCUCCUACCAAAUAACCCCUAAGUGAUGUAUCGCGACGUUAAGGGGUCGUUUGGUUGAAAAACUAGUUACCCCUAAAUUAGUUAUCGCACCCUCAAGUAGGGGUAAAAAAUUAUACUACAAUCCCGGAAUAACUAAUCCAGAAAUGAGUUAUCCCACGCAUUUUAUCCCAACCAAACAUGGGAUAAGCUCAUUCUAAAAUUAAUACCAGGAUAAGUCAUCCCUUAUCC
rnacentral:lncRNA from 1 species